AUACGAACCGUACGAACGUUAUUCGGAAUCACUGGGCUUAAAGAGUGCGUAGGCGGCCAAGUAAGUUGGAUGUGAAAGCCCCCGGCUCAACCGGGGAAUUGCGUUCAAUACUGCUUGGCUUGAGGAAGACAGAGGUGAGUGGAACUGAUGGUGGAGCGGUGAAAUGCGUUGAUAUCUUCAGGAACACCGGUGGCGAAGGCGGCUCACUGGGUCUUUUCUGACGCUAAGGCACGAAAGCAAGGGGAGCGAACGGGAUUAGAAACCCUAGUAGUCC
rnacentral:rRNA from 1 species